rnacentral:rRNA from 1 species
UACGUAGGGUGCAAGCGUUGUCCGGAAUUAUUGGGCGUAAAGAGCUUGUAGGCGGUUUGUCGCGUCUGCUGUGAAAUUUCGGGGCUCAACCCCGAACUUGCAGUGGGUACGGGCAGACUAGAGUGUGGUAGGGGAGACUGGAAUUCCUGGUGUAGCGGUGAAAAUACGCAGAUAUCAGGAAGAACACCCGUGGCGAAGGCGGCUCUCUGGGACGGUACUGACGCUGAGACGCGAAAGCGUGGGGGAGCGAACAGGG